rnacentral:rRNA from 4 species
AAAUUGAAGAGUUUGAUCAUGGCUCAGAUUGAACGCUGGCGGCAGGCCUAACACAUGCAAGUCGAACGGUAGCACAGAGAGCUUGCUCUCGGGUGACGAGUGGCGGACGGGUGAGUAAUGUCUGGGAAACUGCCUGAUGGAGGGGGAUAACUACUGGAAACGGUGGCUAAUACCGCAUAACGUCGCAAGACCAAAGAGGGGGACCUUCGGGCCUCUUGCCAUCAGAUGUGCCCAGAUGGGAUUAGCUUGUUGGUGAGGUAACGGCUCACCAAGGCGACGAUC